CAAAUAACCAAUUAAUCACUGCAUCUGCUUGAAACUCCCCUUAGAGGCUUGCAUUGUCUGGGCCAAUUGCCCUUUAAGUGUUUCUCUUUAUCCCGAAGCACUUAUGAUUUCAUUUGAUCUGAAUCUAAUUAGACACAGAAGAAUGUGAAAAGCAAGUCAUUAAGACAAUGGAACACAAUUCUCAACACUGAAUUUGAUAGCAGCACCCACAACCAAAUUACUCAAGGAAUUUCAAAGAGAAUGAAAAACCCCACAUGCUGUGUGACAGGGAUCAUAUUUUCAAAGCAAAGCAUGCAUGCAGAUUUGAUUUUUGUGUAUUAGAAUAUUUUCAAUUGAUCUGAAGGAUAAAGGAAGACUGUCCUAGAGAACUCGUGCAGUUUGAGGAUACUGGAGGAUAGUGGAGGAACCUGUGGGAGGUGGUUCAGCUCCGGCUCCGGCUGGACCCAUGUAGAUACACCAGCAGAGCCCUCUUGUGGACAUCCGACGUGUAGCGGCAGCAGGAGGGAGGGUUGCGCUUGAGCUGCAGAAACUACUGCAGACCUGAAAACCUGAACAGCCUUGAGUGCUUGCACAGAGCCUGGAGACUCUCUGUCACUGUCUGUUCACUGCUGUUUGCUCCUGAUUGCCAUAAAGAGGACUUUUCUGCUGAAGAUGAAAAGGACACCAGGCUACCAACCAACAGAUGUCAUUCACAUUUUCUGAGUACCAAAAUAUGGAUAAGUAGAUUGUGCCUAGCAGGUAUUAAUU
rnacentral:lncRNA from 1 species